rnacentral:rRNA from 1 species
UACGAAGGGGGCUAGCGUUGCUCGGAAUCACUGGGCGUAAAGGGUGCGUAGGCGGGUCUUUAAGUCAGGGGUGAAAUCCUGGAGCUCAACUCCAGAACUGCCUUUGAUACUGAAGAUCUUGAGUUCGGGAGAGGUGAGUGGAACUGCGAGUGUAGAGGUGAAAUUCGUAGAUAUUCGCAAGAACACCAGUGGCGAAGGCGGACUCACU